GCAGGGUUAGCUCAAUCGGUAGAGCGUGAGACUCUUAAUCUCAAGGUUGCGGGUUCGACCCCCGCAUUCGGCU
rnacentral:tRNA from 1 species